AUUAAAUAAAGACCUCCUAAUAUUAUUUGAAACAGAUAACACUGAAUUAGUUUGAAUUUGAUUUUCAUCUAAUAUCUUUAUUUAAUGAACUCCUAAACUUUUUCAUAAUAAUCUCCUAAACUUUUUCAUAAUAAUCUCCUUCAAAAGUCGCCUGUAUGGGUGGCUUUU
rnacentral:sRNA from 1 species